rnacentral:tRNA from 1 species
AGAAGUUCAAGCCUUCUUGUUGACCGAGGGGCAUUAUAAACAAGGGGCUGCUAA